rnacentral:rRNA from 1 species
AGAGUUUGAUUCUGGCUCAGAACGAACGCUGGCAGCGUGGAUUAGGCAUGCAAGUCGAACGAGAAUCUAUUUUUUCAAUCUUCGGAAAGAGAGUUUAGAGGACAGUGGCGGAAGGGUGAGUAACGCGUGGGCAAUCUGCCCUCGAGACAGGGAUAACGCUUGGAAACGAACGCUAAUACCUGAUGAGGUGGUCCCGCUAUGCGGGAUUAACUAAAGGUGGGGAUUCUUCGGAACCUGCCGCUUGAGGAGGAGCCCGCGUCCCAUCAGUUAGUUGGUAGGGUAAUGGCCUACCAAGACUAAGACGGGUAGCCGGCCUGAGAGGGUGAUCGGCCACACUGGGACUGAGACACUGCCCAGACUCCUACGGGAGGCUGCAGUCGAGGAUCAUUCGCAAUGCGCGAAAGCGUGACGAUGCGACGCUGCGUGUAGGAUGACGGCCUUCGGGUUGUAAACUACUGUCAUAAGGGAAAAAUAUGGCGAGGGUUAAUAACUCUUGCAAUUGAUGUUACCUUAAGAGGAAGCCACGGCUAACUCUGUGCCAGCAGCCGCGGUAAUACAGAGGUGGCGAGCGUUGUUCGGAUUUACUGGGCGUAAAGGGUGUGUAGGUUGUCACGUAUGUCGGAUGUGAAAUUCCGGGGCCUAACCCCGGCGCUGCAUUCGAAACUGCGUGUCUAGAGUACAGGAGAGGUAAGCGGAAUUCUUGGUGUAGCGGUGAAAUGCGUUGAUAUCAAGAAGAACACCGGAUGCGAAGGCGGCUUACUGGAAUGUUACUGACACUGAAACACGAAAGCUAGGGGAGCAAACAGGUUUAGAUACCCUGGUAGUCCUAGCCGUAAACGGUGUGCACUCGGGUUGGCGGAAUUGUCCCCGCCAGUGCCUAAGCUAACGCGUUAAGUGCACCGCCUGGGGAGUACGGUCGCAAGAUUAAAACUCAAAGAAAUUGACGGGGACCCGCACAAGCGGAGGAGCAUGUGGCUUAAUUCGAUCCACGCGAAGAACCUUACCUGGGCUUGACAUAUAACUGCACGUCCUGUGAAAGCAGGAUUCCUUCGAGGGUGUUAUACAGGUGCUGCAUGGCUGUCGUCAGUUCGUGCCGUGAGGUGUUGGGUUAAGUCCCGCAACGAACGUAACCCCUGUGUUUAGUUGCUACCAGGUAAUGCUGAGCACUCUAGACAGACUGCCCGUGUAAUCGGGAGGAAGGUGGGGACGACGUCAAGUCAGUAUGGCCCUUACGCCCAGGGCUGCACACGUGCUACAAUGACCGGUACAGAGGGUCGCAAUAUCGCAAGGUGGAGCAAAUCCCUUAAAACCGGUCCCAGUUCGGAUUGGAGUCUGCAACUCGACUCCAUGAAGUUGGAUUCGCUAGUAACGGCGUAUCAGCUACGACGCCGUGAAUACGUUCCCGGGUCUUGUACACACCGCCCGUCACAUCAUGAAAGCCGUCUGCACCCAAAGUCGCUGACCCAACCCCGCACC